AACGUAGGAGACAAACGUUAUCCGGAGUUACUGGGCGUAAAGGGCGUGUAGGUGGUUUCGUAAGUCUGGCGUGAAAUUUUUCGGCUUAACCGGGAAAGGUCGUCGGAUACUGCGGAGCUAGAGGACGGUAGAGGCGUGUGGAAUUCCGGGUGUAGUGGUGAAAUGCGUAGAGAUCCGGAGGAACACCAGUGGCGAAGGCGACACGCUGGGCCGUACCUGACACUGAUGCGCGACAGCAUGGGGAGCAACCAGG
rnacentral:rRNA from 1 species